rnacentral:rRNA from 1 species
AGAGUUUGAUCAUGGCUCAGAGCGAANNNNNGGCGGAGUAACACAUGCAAGUCGAGCGGGCGUAGAUACGUCAGCGGCAGACGGGUGAGUAACGCGUGGGAACAUACCUUUUGGUUCGGAACAACACAGGGAAACUUGUGCUAUACCGGAUAAGCCCUUACGGGGAAAGAUUUAUCGCGAAAGAUUGGCCCGCGUCUGAUUAGCUAGUUGGUGAGGUAACGGCUCACCAAGGCGACGAUCAGUAGCUGGUCUGAGAGGAUGAUCAGCCACAUUGGGACUGAGACACGGCCCAAACUCUACGGGAGGCAGCAGUGGGGAAUAUUGGACAAUGGGCGCAAGCCUGAUCCAGCCAUGCCGCGUGAGUGAUGAAGGCCCUAGGGUUGUAAAGCUCUUUUGUGCGGGAAGAUAAUGACGGUACCGCAAGAAUAAGCCCCGGCUAACUUCGUGCCAGCAGCCGCGGUAAUACGAAGGGGGCUAGCGUUGCUCGGAAUCACUGGGCGUAAAGGGUGCGUAGGCGGGUCUUUAAGUCAGGGGUGAAAUCCUGGAGCUCAACUCCAGAACUGCCUUUGAUACUGAAGAUCUUGAGUUCGGGAGAGGUGAGUGGAACUGCGAGUGUAGAGGUGAAAUUCGUAGAUAUUCGCAAGAACACCAGUGGCGAAGGCGGCUCACUGGCCCGAUACUGACGCUGAGGCACGAAAGCGUGGGGAGCAAACAGGAUUAGAUACCCUAGUAGUCC